rnacentral:rRNA from 1 species
GAUGAACGCUGGCGGCGUGCCUAAUACAUGCAAGUCGAGCGAACAGACGAGGAGCUUUCUCCUCUGACGUUAGCGGCGGACGGGUGAGUAACACGUGGAUAACCUACCUAUAAGACUGGGAUAACUUCGGGAAACCGGAGCUAAUACCGGAUAAUAUAUUGAACCGCAUGGUUCAAUAGUGCAUGACGGUUUUGCUGUCACUUAUAGAUGGAUCCGCGCCGCAUUAGCUAGUUGGUAAGGUAACGGCUUACCAAGGCAACGAUGCGUAGCCGACCUGAGAGGGUGAUCGGCCACACUGGAACUUAGACACGGUCCAGACUCCUACGGGAGGCAGCAGUAGGGAAUCUUCCGCAAUGGGCGAAAGCCUGACGGAGCAACGCCGCGUGAGUGAUGAAGGUCUUCGGAUCGUAAAACUCUGUUAUUAGGGAAGAACAAAUGUGUAAGUAACUAUGCACGUCUUGACGGUACCUAAUCAGAAAGCCACGGCUAACUACGUG